rnacentral:rRNA from 1 species
GGGUUGUGAGGUUAAGCGACUAAGCGUACACGGUGGAUGCCCUGGCAGUCAGAGGCGAUGAAGGGCGUGCUAAUCUGCGAUAAGCGCCGGUAAGGUGAUAUGAACCGUUAUAACCGGCGAUACCCGAAUGGGGAAACCCAGUGUGAUUCGUCACACUAUCAUUAACUGAAUCCAUAGGUUAAUGAGGCGAACCGGGGGAACUGAAACAUCUAAGUACCCCGAGGAAAAGAAAUCAACCGAGAUUCCCCCAGUAGCGGCGAGCGAACGGGGAGGAGCCCAGAGCCUGAAUCAGCAUGUGUGUUAGUGGAAGCGUCUGGAAAGGCGCGCGAUACAGGGUGACAGCCCCGUACACAAAAGCGCAUGUGCUGUGAGCUCGAUGAGUAGGGCGGGACACGUGGUAUCCUGUCUGAAUAUGGGGGGACCAUCCUCCAAGGCUAAAUACUCCUGACUGACCGAUAGUGAACCAGUACCGUGAGGGAAAGGCGAAAAGAACCCCGGCGAGGGGAGUGAAAAAGAACCUGAAACCGUGUACGUACAAGCAGUGGGAGCCCCACCACCAAAGCAUUCUCUGGUGUUGAAGGCCCUGCAAAGCAGCAUCGCGGUGGCGGAGCGUCGUUUGCGACGCCCAACACACAAAACAAGCGGUGAGUGCUUUGGGGUGGGGUGACUGCGUACCUUUUGUAUAAUGGGUCAGCGACUUAUAUUCUGUAGCAAGGUUAACCGAAUAGGGGAGCCGGAGGGAAACCGAGUCUUAAUUGGGCGUUAAGUUGCAGGGUAUAGACCCGAAACCCGGUGAUCUAGCCAUGGGCAGGUUGAAGGUUGGGUAACACUAACUGGAGGACCGAACCGACUAAUGUUGAAAAAUUAGCGGAUGACCUGUGGCUGGGGGUGAAAGGCCAAUCAAACCGGGAGAUAGCUGGUUCUCCCCGAAAGCUAUUUAGGUAGCGCCUCGUGAAUUCAUCUCCGGGGGUAGAGCACUGUUUCGGCUAGGGGGCCAUCCCGGCUUACCAACCCGAUGCAAACUGCGAAUACCGGAGAAUGUUAUCACGGGAGACACACGGCGGGUGCUAACGUCCGUCGUGAAGAGGGAAACAACCCAGACCGCCAGCUAAGGUCCCAAAGUCAUGGUUAAGUGGGAAACGAUGUGGGAAGGCCCAGACAGCCAGGAUGUUGGCUUAGAAGCAGCCAUCAUUUAAAGAAAGCGUAAUAGCUCACUGGUCGAGUCGGCCUGCGCGGAAGAUGUAACGGGGCUAAACCAUGCACCGAAGCUGCGGCAGCGACACUCAGGUGUUGUUGGGUAGGGGAGCGUUCUGUAAGCCUGCGAAGGUGGCCUGUGAGGGUUGCUGGAGGUAUCAGAAGUGCGAAUGCUGACAUAAGUAACGAUAAAGCGGGUGAAAAGCCCGCUCGCCGGAAGACCAAGGGUUCCUGUCCAACGUUAAUCGGGGCAGGGUGAGUCGACCCCUAAGGCGAGGCCGAAAGGCGUAGUCGAUGGGAAACGGGUUAAUAUUCCCGUACUUGGUGUUACUGCGAAGGGGGGACGGAGAAGGCUAUGUUGGCCGGGCGACGGUUGUCCCGGUUUAAGCGUGUAGGUGUGUGUUCCAGGUAAAUCCGGUUCACUUUAACACUGAGGCGUGACGACGAGGCACUACGGUGCUGAAGCAACAAAUGCCCUGCUUCCAGGAAAAGCCUCUAAGCAUCAGGUAACAUCAAAUCGUACCCCAAACCGACACAGGUGGUCAGGUAGAGAAUACCAAGGCGCUUGAGAGAACUCGGGUGAAGGAACUAGGCAAAAUGGUGCCGUAACUUCGGGAGAAGGCACGCUGACACGUAGGUGAAGUGAUUUACUCACGGAGCUGAAGUCAGUCGAAGAUACCAGCUGGCUGCAACUGUUUAUUAAAAACACAGCACUGUGCAAACACGAAAGUGGACGUAUACGGUGUGACGCCUGCCCGGUGCCGGAAGGUUAAUUGAUGGGGUCAGCGCAAGCGAAGCUCCUGAUCGAAGCCCCGGUAAACGGCGGCCGUAACUAUAACGGUCCUAAGGUAGCGAAAUUCCUUGUCGGGUAAGUUCCGACCUGCACGAAUGGCGUAAUGAUGGCCAGGCUGUCUCCACCCGAGACUCAGUGAAAUUGAACUCGCUGUGAAGAUGCAGUGUACCCGCGGCAAGACGGAAAGACCCCGUGAACCUUUACUAUAGCUUGACACUGAACAUUGAGCCUUGAUGUGUAGGAUAGGUGGGAGGCUUUGAAGUGUGGACGCCAGUCUGCAUGGAGCCGACCUUGAAAUACCACCCUUUAAUGUUUGAUGUUCUAACGUGGACCCGUGAUCCGGGUUGCGGACAGUGUCUGGUGGGUAGUUUGACUGGGGCGGUCUCCUCCUAAAGAGUAACGGAGGAGCACGAAGGUUGGCUAAUCCUGGUCGGACAUCAGGAGGUUAGUGCAAUGGCAUAAGCCAGCUUGACUGCGAGCGUGACGGCGCGAGCAGGUGCGAAAGCAGGUCAUAGUGAUCCGGUGGUUCUGAAUGGAAGGGCCAUCGCUCAACGGAUAAAAGGUACUCCGGGGAUAACAGGCUGAUACCGCCCAAGAGUUCAUAUCGACGGCGGUGUUUGGCACCUCGAUGUCGGCUCAUCACAUCCUGGGGCUGAAGUAGGUCCCAAGGGUAUGGCUGUUCGCCAUUUAAAGUGGUACGCGAGCUGGGUUUAGAACGUCGUGAGACAGUUCGGUCCCUAUCUGCCGUGGGCGCUGGAGAACUGAGGGGGGCUGCUCCUAGUACGAGAGGACCGGAGUGGACGCAUCACUGGUGUUCGGGUUGUCAUGCCAAUGGCACUGCCCGGUAGCUAAAUGCGGAAGAGAUAAGUGCUGAAAGCAUCUAAGCACGAAACUUGCCCCGAGAUGAGUUCUCCCUGAGACUUAGAGUCUCCUGAAGGAACGUUGAAGACGACGACGUUGAUAGGCCGGGUGUGUAAGCGCAGCGAUGCGUUGAGCUAACCGGUACUAAUGAACCGUGAGGCUUAACCUUACAACGCCGAAG